ACUCAAAUGAAUUGACGGGGGCCCGCACAAGCGGUGGAGCAUGUGGUUUAAUUCGACGCAACGCGAAGAACCUUACCCAGGCUUGACAUGUAGGUAGUAGGAACCUGAAAGGGGGACGACCCCGCAAGGGGAGCCUGCACAGGUGCUGCAUGGCUGUCGUCAGCUCGUGCCGUGAGGUGUUGGGUUAAGUCCCGCAACGAGCGCAACCCUCGCCCUCUGUUUACCACCGGGUAAUGCCGGGAACUCUGAGGGGACUGCCGGCGAUGAGCUGGAGGAAGGUGGGGAUGACGUCAAGUCAUCAUGGCCUUUAUGCCUGGGGCUACACACGUGCUACAAUGGCCGGUACAGAUGGUUGCAAACCCGCAAGGGGGAGCUAAUCCCAAAAAACCGGUCUCAGUUCAGAUUGGGGUCUGCAACUCGACCCCAUGAAGGCGGAAUCGCUAGUAAUCGCGUAUCAGCACGACGCGGUGAAUACGUUCCCGGGCCUUGCACACACCGCCCGU
rnacentral:rRNA from 1 species